ensembl:lncRNA
UGUUUUAUAUGCUAUUUUUAUCAGAAACCACACAUAUUCACAUACAUUAAGUGUAAUUAAAGUAAUUCAAUAUUAGUUAUUUUUGAAUUUGGCAGAUCUGGAGCCCAUCCAACCACAGUCCUCCAAUGAAGGUUAAUUCCCAUAAUCCUAGAGGUGAAACUCCACGUCUGUGUGGUAAAGACUGAGUUUGUUAAAGUAGAGAUUGAUGACAUGAGCAACCCAGAAACAUCCAGAAUAAAUCAUGAAGAUACUGAGUAACAAACAGGUUGGUGUCUGUUCUUUAGUCUUUAUUUUUGACGGAUGACAAACAUUAAAGUAAAGCUUAAGUUCACCAUAUGUAGUUUCAGUGAAAUAAUAAGCAGUAUAUAAAGGAUAAAUGAGAUAGAAAAUGCAACACAACUAUAGCAGUUGUCAUCCACACUUAGCGUCUUUAAAAAUCUGAUACUUCCAGACAUACUGUUGCUUUCUGCUCUUAAAUCAGGUUCACUUUAACUGUUUUUAACUAUUUCAUAUGUUUAUUUUAGAUCGGAUGGAGGUGAAAAGGCAUUUCAUGUUUUUCUGUGAAUCGCUUGUAUUCCUCAAUUAUCUGGUGCCCAUCCCACAACAGUCCACCAAUGAAGGUUUGCAAUAUUCCAAUCAUCCUAUAAGAAGAGGAACUCUGGCUCUGUAACAUACCAUGGUAAAGACUGAGUUUAUUAAAGAGGAGAUUGAUAACAUGAGCGAUCCAGUGAAUCAUGAAGAUGAUGAGGAACAAACAGGUUGGUGUUUGUUCUUGAGUCUUUAUUAUAUUAUCGACGUCUGAAUAAGCAAUAUACCAAUGAUAAAUGAUACAGAAAAUGCAUUAUAACUAUAGCAGCUGAUCGUAUUAUCAAGGAAAUGACAGAACUACUCUUUAGCACUACAAAAAAUCUGAUACUUACAGACAUAGUCGCUUUCUGCUGUUAAAUCAGGUUCACUU